UACGAAGGGGGGCUAGCGUUGCUCGGAAUCACUGGGCGUAAAGGGUGCGUAGGCGGGUCUUUUAAGUCAGGGGUGAAAUCCUGGAGCUCAACUCCAGAACUGCCUUUGAUACUGAGGAUCUUGAGUUCGGGAGAGGUGAGUGGAACUGCGAGUGUAGAGGUGAAAUUCGUAGAUAUUCGCAAGAACACCAGUGGCGAAGGCGGCUCACUGGCCCGAUACUG
rnacentral:rRNA from 1 species